rnacentral:rRNA from 1 species
GACGAACGCUGGCGGCGUGCUUAACACAUGCAAGUCGAACGGAAAGGCCCUGCUUUUGUGGGGUGCUCGAGUGGCGAACGGGUGAGUAACACGUGAGUAACCUGCCCUUGACUUUGGGAUAACUUCAGGAAACUGGGGCUAAUACCGGAUAGGAGCUCCUGCUGCAUGGUGGGGGUUGGAAAGUUUCGGCGGUUGGGGAUGGACUCGCGGCUUAUCAGCUUGUUGGUGGGGUAGUGGCUUACCAAGGCUUUGACGGGUAGCCGGCCUGAGAGGGUGACCGGCCACAUUGGGACUGAGAUACGGCCCAGACGCCUACGGGAGGCAGCAGUGGGGAAUAUUGCACAAUGGGCGGAAGCCUGAUGCAGCAGCGCCGCGUGCGGGAUGACGGCCUUCGGGUUGUAAACCGCUUUCGCCUGUGACGAAGCGUGAGUGACGGUAAUGGGUAAAGAAGCACCGGCUAACUACGUG